GUUGAAGCUUUUUUUAGGUUAGUGGCGAACGGGUGAGUAAUGCAUAGGUCAUCUACCCUUAAGUCUGGGAUAACACUUCGAAAGAGGUGCUAAUACCGGAUAUUCAAGUUUACUUGGAAAGCUUUUGCGCUUAAGGAGGAGCUUAUGUCUGAUUAGCUAGUUGGUGAGGUAAUGGCUCACCAAGGCGAAGAUCAGUAGCUGGUCUGAGAGAACGGACAGCCACACUGGGACUGAGACACGGCCCAGACUCC
rnacentral:rRNA from 1 species